AAAAAUUCAAAAAAAACCCCUGUGGUUUCGUAGUUUCUCACUUUGCCCCCGUGUGGUUUAAAAUGUAUCAGUUUACCCCUCUGUGGUUUCUUUUUUCUCUUUUUCUUAUCAAUCUCAUUAUUUUUUUUUUCUUAAAGCAGUGAUAAAGUUAAAAUUAAAGGGUACUAAAGUGAAUAUUUGAUAAAUCUAGAUAGGUAUCUGAAGUUUUUUGUAUAUAAUUUAAUGAAAUAUUAACGAAAAAGCUACCGAAAAGAUAAAAACGAAACCACAUGGGGGCAAUAUGAUACAUUUUAAACCACAGGGGGGCAAAGUGAGAAACUACGAAACCACAUGGGAGGUUUUUGAAGUUUUCCCUCUUUUAAGAUUAGUUUCUUCAUUGGUUCCAACUUUUAUCAGACUUUUCAUUUUUGACUAUUAGAUUUAAGGGUUAAUUUCAUACAUGUUUAUGUACGUACAGUGAAUAAUAAAUAUAUAUCUAUUAAAUUUAAUUUUCAUAUAUUGUUCAUGUAAAAAUUCUGAUGUUUUCAAAUAUAUCCCUACCGUUAGAAUUUACUAGAAAAAUUUAGUUAACUAUAUAUUAAAUAUUUAACCAUAGUUAGCUUUUGACAUAUUUAUGUUAUACUGUUAUAGUUUUUAGAGGGAUAUAUUUGUUAUUGUAAAAUUAAAAAUAUAAACAAUUCUCUAAUGGUAACAAAUCAGAGGGAUAUGUUUGAAAAUAUCAGAACUUUUGCAGUGAUAACAUAUGAAAGUUGAAUUUUGUAGGAAUAGAUUUGUUAUUCACUAUGUUUGCGAAGACCUGUAUAAAAGUAACCCUAAAUUUAACUACACUAUUGGUU
rnacentral:lncRNA from 1 species